GGCUCACCAAGGCAACGAUACAUAGGGGGACUGAGAGGUUAACCCCCCACAUUGGUACUGAGACACGGACCAAACUCCUACGGGAGGCAGCAGUGAGGAAUAUUGGUCAAUGGACGCAAGUCUGAACCAGCCAUGCCGCGUGCAGGAAGACGGCUCUAUGAGUUGUAAACUGCUUUUGUACUAGGGUAAACGCUUCUACGUGUAGGAGCCUGAAAGUAUAGUACGAAUAAGGAUCGGCUAACUCCGUGCCAGCAGCCGCGGUAAUACGGAGGAUCCAAGCGUUAUCCGGAUUUAUUGGGUUUAAAGGGUGCGUAGGCGGUUUGAUAAGUUAGAGGUGAAAUACCGGGGCUCAACUCCGGAACUGCCUCUAAUACUGUUGAACUAGAGAGUAGUUGCGGUAGGCGGAAUGUAUGGUGUAGCGGUGAAAUGCUUAGAGAUCAUACAGAACACCGAUUGCGAAGGCAGCUUACCAAACUAUAUCUGACGUUGAGGCACGAAAGCGUGGGGAGCAAACAGGAUUAGAUACCCUGGUAGUCCACGC
rnacentral:rRNA from 1 species